rnacentral:rRNA from 1 species
GACGAACGCUGGCGGCGUGCUUAACACAUGCAAGUCGAACGGAAAGGCCCUGCUUUUGUGGGGUGCUCGAGUGGCGAACGGGUGAGUAACACGUGAGUAACCUGCCCUUGACUUUGGGAUAACUUCAGGAAACUGGGGCUAAUACCGGAUAGGAGCUCCUGCUGCAUGGUGGGGGUUGGAAAGUUUCGGCGGUUGGGGAUGGACUCGCGGCUUAUCAGCUUGUUGGUGGGGUAGUGGCUUACCAAGGCUUUGACGGGUAGCCGGCCUGAGAGGGUGACCGGCCACAUUGGGACUGAGAUACGGCCCAGACUCCUACGGGAGGCAGCAGUGGGGAAUAUUGCACAAUGGGCGGAAGCCUGAUGCAGCAACGCCGCGUGCGGGAUGACGGCCUUCGGGCUGUAAACCGCUUUCGCCUGUGACGAGGCGUGAGUGACGGUAAUGGGUAAAGAAGCACCGGCUAACUACGUGCCAGCAGCCGCGGUGAUACGUAGGGUGCGAGCGUUGUCCGGAUUUAUUGGGCGUAAAGGGCUCGUAGGUGGUUGAUCGCGUCGGAAGUGUAAUCUUGGGGCUUAACCCUGAGCGUGCUUUCGAUACGGGUUGACUUGAGGAAGGUAGGGGAGAAUGGAAUUCCUGGUGGAGCGGUGGAAUGCGCAGAUAUCAGGAGGAACACCAGUGGCGAAGGCGGUUCUCUGGGCCUUUCCUGACGCUGAGGAGCGAAAGCGUGGGGAGCGAACAGGCUUAGAUACCCUGGUAGUCCACGCUGUAAACGGUGGGUACUAGGUGUGGGGUCCAUUCCACGGGUUCCGUGCCGUAGCUAACGCUUUAAGUACCCCGCCUGGGGAGUACGGCCGCAAGGCUAAAACUCAAAGGAAUUGACGGGGCCCCGCACAAGCGGCGGAGCAUGCGGAUUAAUUCGAUGCAACGCGUAGAACCUUACCUGGGUUUGACAUGGAUCGGGAGUGCUCAGAGAUGGGUGUGCCUCUUUUGGGGUCGGUUCACAGGUGGUGCAUGGCUGUCGUCAGCUCAUGUCGUGAGAUGUUGGGUUAAGUCCCGCAACGAGCGCAACCCUUGUUCACUGUUGCCAGCACGUUAUGGUGGGGACUCAGUGGAGACCGCCGGGGUCAACUCGGAGGAAGGUGGGGAUGACGUCAAGUCAUCAUGCCCCUUAUGUCCAGGGCUUCACGCAUGCUACAAUGGCUGGUACAGAGAGUGGCGAGCCUGUGAGGGUGAGCGAAUCUCGGAAAGCCGGUCUCAGUUCGGAUUGGGGUCUGCAACUCGACCUCAUGAAGUCGGAGUCGCUAGUAAUCGCAGAUCAGCAACGCUGCGGUGAAUACGUUCCCGGGGCU